rnacentral:rRNA from 1 species
AACGAACGCUGGCGGCAGGCUUAACACAUGCCAGUCGAACGCACCUUUCGGGGUGAGUGGCCGACGGGUGAGUAACGCGUGGGAAUCUACCCUUCUCUACGGGAUAGCUCCGGGAAACUGGAAUUAAUACCGUAUACGUCCUGAGGGAGAAAGAUUUAUCGGGGAAGGAUGAGCCCGCGUUGGAUUAGCUAGUUGGUGGGGUAAAGGCCUACCAAGGCGACGAUCCAUAGCUGGUCUAAGAGGAUGAUCAGCCACAUUGGGACUGAGACACGGCCCAAACUCCUACGGGAGGCAGCAGUGGGGAAUAUUGGACAAUGGGCGCAAGCCUGAUCCAGCCAUGCCGCGUGAGUGAUGAAGGCCCUAGGGUUGUAAAGCUCUUUCAGUGGGGACGAUAAUGACGGUACCCACAGAAGAAGCCCCGGCUAACUUCGUG